AUGGACGAAGCUUACCACCCACAAAGAGCAUCCUCCAUGACAAAACAAGUUAAGAAAAAGGGCAAGCAUCCAGCCCUAAAUUUUAAUCAUGGGAGCGGAAGCAGCUCGCAGGAAAAUCUUAUCGUUUACAUCCUGAGGCGACCAAUGCUUGAAACAGUUACUGAAACAAUUCGUUUGAAAGUACAAGGUUAUACAUGUUGGUACGUCCAUGAAGGUAUGAUGCAAGCAUCUGUAUUAAUUGCUCUACCACGCCAGGAAGGCAGUUUUAGAGAAUCUUCCAUCACAUAUGAAGGAGAGUCAGCUAAUACAGAAGAUGAAGCAAUGGAGAAGGCAGCUCAAAUGGCCUUAGAAUGCAUUUGUGCAGACUAUAACAUUUCUGUUAAUGAUCACAAUUACUAUGCCCUUGAAGUCACAAAAGAAAGGUUGUUUACAGCAAGAGAGAAAGCUCAAACAAAGCAAUGGCAAUUCAACAUGGCUCGCCAACAAGUAACUACACAGCAGAAUGAAUUUGCGAGGCAAACAAUGAUCCUGGCAAAGAUAUGCAACAAUUUUUAUGAUAUACUACCACUCCGCAUGUAUCCCCAACGUCCAACAAGCAGUGACCCCAUAAUUACGUACACAGGCGCACACCGUCCCGUCCGACGUAUGGAAGAAUUUGCAAAGUCACUUUACCAUUUUAUCACAGGCACAAACCCUGUAGGAGGCUACACCAGAAUGAUCUAA
rnacentral:rRNA from 1 species